CUAGCUGUAAACGAUGGAUACUAGGCGUUGAGAGUAUCGACCCUCUCAGUGUCGUAGCUAACGCGUUAAGUAUCCCGCCUGGGGAGUACGCGCGCAAGCGUGAAACUCAAAGGAAUUGACGGGGGCCCGCACAAGCGGUGGAGUAUGUGGUUUAAUUCGAUGCAACGCGAAAAACCUUACCAGGGCUUGACAUGUCCGGAACCCUGCCCAAAGGCGGGGGUGCCUACGGGAACCGGAACACAGGUGGUGC
rnacentral:rRNA from 1 species